rnacentral:lncRNA from 1 species
GCAAAGAAGAAAUUUCCAUUAAUAUAAUUUUCAAACUUAAAGAAAUUCGACAAUAGUUAAAAAAAAAAUAUUCCAGAUACGUGUACAAUGUUACGUGUAAAGAAGAAAUUUCCAUUAAUAUAAUUUUCAAACUUAAAGAAAUUCGACAGUCUGCUAAUUAAAAAAAAAAAAAUAUUCCAGAUACGUGCAAAGGAGCAAUUUCCAUUAAUAUAAUUUUCAAACCUAAAGAAAUUCAACAAUAAUUAAAAAAAAAAAUAUUUCAGAUAUGUGAUACAAUGUUACGUGCAAAGAAGAAAUUUCCAUUAAUAUAAUUUUCAAACUUAAAGAAAUUCGACAGUCUGUUUAAUUAAAAAAAAAAAAAUAUUCCAGAUACGUGCAAAGGAGCAAUUUCCAUUAAUAUAAUUUUCAAACCUAAAGAAAUUCGACAAUAAUUAAAAAAAAAAAUAUUCCAGAUAGAUGUACAAUAUUAUGUGCAAAGAAGAAAUUUCUAUUAAUAUAAUUUUCAAACUUAAAGAAAUUCGACAGUCUGCUUAAUUAAAAAAAAAAUAUUCGAUUCCAGAUACGUGCAAAGAAGCAAUUUCUAAUUUAAUAUAAUUUUCAAUUCCGAUUAUUCGAGGAAGAAAUUGGAUAAAUAAGGAAUAAUUCGAGAAUCUCGGUUGGUCGAUUAAAAAGAGAAAUAUUCCGGAUGAUAUACGGUGUGUAUACAGUGUUCCAGUUAGUUAACGUCUGUUAAUCGUCAAGAUCGUGAUCCAAGGCAUUUCUAAUUAGCUUAUAGGGAUAUGUUUAUCGUUGAACGAUAUUCGCGAUAUCGAGCGUACAUAACCAGUCCUUGACCCGUUCAUUCCCAAUAAUCCUACCAUUUCCACCAAUUGAAAAAACGAUAUUUGAUACUCGUUCGAUUGUCCUCGCGUCGAUAAAUUUUCCGACGAGAUGAAAAUAUCAAAAUCUCUUUUCUUUUAUUUCACUUGGAUCGCUCACAUUUUCACAAUUGUUGUACCAUUUACCGCGAGAAAGGGGGAGGGAGGAGGCUCGAUCAAGAUUCCGGACGAGGCAUUAUAAAGUCGAAGGGAGUAGAGAGAGGGAGCUGCGCGACGUUUACACGUGGAAUCGAAGGGAAGAGAUGGGCCCCCCUCCCCUCCCUCGUAUCGCGCGCGCCACGAAGCGAGGAUCUGUCGCAAUGGUGGAUCGAUGUGUCGCAACGCGGCGGCAGCAGCAGCAACGGCACACAGCGCCGGGUCGGGCAUAAUAGCGUCGCGGCGGUGCGUCGCGAUGCGUGCAUACAACUAUACCGUACUAUUUAUAAGCGGACGAAAAAACGCGUGGUUAAAGGAGAGAAACGCGUGGAGAGGAGGCCGUGGAAGGGCACGGGAAGGAAAGCGUUUUUCGGCGCCCGACCGACUCGAAUUUUUCCCCGCGACGCCACCGCCCUCUGACCCAUUUUCCCUCGAAGCUCGCCGGCGAGCCGGCUCGCCAGUUGUGCUGCCCGCCUCCGUCUCCUCCUCCCGCCGCGACCUUUUUCCCGCCUAAAUCUCGUGGAACAAUGUACCCUUUUUUCCCAAAAUGUGCAUCGUGUAUUCCCUAUCCGCGUGUAAAUUUCGAAGGAGGAUCCAUUCUCGCGUAGAAUCGAGGAAGGAAAGUCGAGGAAGAAGGAAAAAUUGUGCUCGAUCGAUUCUAACCUCUCUUCGUUAAUUCGAUCGAAAGGAAAGAACGUGCAUCGUGUAUUCCCUAUCCGCGUGUAAAUUUCGAAGGAGGAUCCAUUCUCGCGUAGAAUCGAGGAAGGAAAGUCGAGGAAGAAGGAAAAAUUGUGCUCGAUCGAUUCUAACCUCUCUUCGUUAAUUCGAUCGAAAGGAAAGAACGUGCAUCGUGUAUUCCUUUUCUCGUAUAAAUCUCGAAAGAGAAUCCAUUUUCGCGUAAAAUCGAUCGAAAGAGAAAUUGUGCUUGAUCAAUUAAUUCGUGAUGGAAAAGAUUCCUUCCUUUUCUCGUAUAAAUUUCAAGAGAGAAUCCAUUUUCGCGUAGAAUCGAUCGAAAGGAAAGAACGUGUUCCCAAACGUGCAUCGUGUAUUCCUUUUCUCGUAUAAAUUUCAAAAUUUAUUUUCGCGUAGAAUCGAUCGAAAGAAAAAUUGUGCUUGAUCAAUUAAUUCGUGAUGGAAAAGAUUCCUUCCUUUUCUCGUAUAAAUUUCAAGAGAGAAUCCAUUUUCGCGUAGAAUCGAUCGAAAGGAAAGAACGUGUUCCCAAACGUGCAUCGUGUAUUCCUUUUCUCGUAUAAAUUUCAAAAUUUAUUUUCGCGUAGAAUCGAUUGAAAAAAAAAUUGUGCUUGAUCAAUUAAUUCGUGAUGGAAAAGAUUCCUUCCUUUUCUCGUAUAAAUUUCAAGAGAGAAUCCAUUUUCGCGUAGACUCGAUCGAAAGAAAAAUUGUGCUCGACGAAUUCUAACCUCUUCGUCGUUAAUUCAUAAUGGAAAAGACACAAUGUGUACCUUUUCUUACCAGAAUUUCGACACGUAUCAUCGCUUAGAAUCGAUUAAAAGAAAUUGUAUCCAAGCUAAAUUUCCAACCUCUUCGUCAUUAAUUGGAUAAUGGAAAAGUUGCAGCAAAUCGUCAAAUUGUGUUACGCAAUGAUCGUUGAGAAUUUCGAAAAUCGAGGACGAGAUUGGAACGGAAUCGGUGUACGUAGCGCUCUCUGAGAGGCUCUCGAGGAGAUAAGGGAGUAUAUACACACAUAGUUGCGUAGAAAAUGGUAGGAAAACAAUUUGUUGACAUUGAAGCGUUGCCGUGGACGGGAUUGGUAAACAGGAAGAAAUAUGUUGGGAUGGUUGGAGCGGCAUUGGCGAUAAAAUAAAACAGCCUUAUCCGAUCGGUUGGCCUAUUUCACGACGGACAAUUGCAUAAACGCGCCACGUCGUCGUAAGCACGCACGCACACAAACACACACAUACACACACACAAUAUACACACACGCACGAUAUAUUUAUAGACGAGGAAGGUCGAGGAAGAAAGCGCGCCUAGACCGUUUGACCAUUUGGCAGAGGCAGCUGCCGAGCAAUCAUAUCCAGACCGGCCACUAAUAAUAUCGUCCAACCUCGCCAUUUUCUGCAACGUUUGUUUCUUGUAUAUUCCUUGCAGAAUAAGGACACGUAUCGAUUCGAAAAAUCAAUUUCCAGCUUCCCGUUAUCCCGGAAAUGGAAUAAUCAAAUAAUAAACGAUGAUGAUAUUAUUUUUUCAAGAUUUCGAUUCGAAGAUCUGAUUUUCGUGGAAAAGUGAUUGGUGUAAAAUGUUAGGAAUCGUCCGUUACGUUUUAAUUCCGAUAUCGAUAAAGAAACGGAGAGAGAUACGGAGGCGCGAUACCGGGAGCCCGGUGAUUAAAAGUUCUAAGAAUAAAUGCAGCGGCGUGAAUAAGUAAGAAAAUUGUUUCAUCCAAUCAAGAUACGAGCAAAAGAGACGUUGUUUUAAUUGCUUGGGAAUUUAGUACACGUGUACCAACCGAACAGACUAUUUUCCGAUUCGUAAUCCGUAAUGCGAAGCCUCGUUUCUUUUAUUCGUCCAUUCGUAUUUGUAAUUCGCCUUUAUCAAAAGUUAUAAACCUUGUUCGGAGAAAAAGGCUUAGAGAUUGGAAAGGGGGAGUGUCGAAAAAAUCGAGGAAAGAGGAAAUGACGAAAGAGCUCAAGCUCGUCGAAAAAGUUGUCUCAAAUGUCAGCCUCGUUAACCGAUAACAUUAUCUUUUUAAACUUACUUGAAACGAGCGAAGUGAAAAACGUACGUACGAUUUCUAAAUCGAUCGAAUCCGAGCGGUAACGGAAUUUCGGGGGAAAAAUAAUAACAAGAGGAAGGAAGAAAGGAAACGUGUCGCCACCUACCGAUACGUAAACACAAUAACCGACGGUUAAUUUAGAACGGAGAAAGGGAGAGGAAGGGGGGGGCGCGGCGGUUUAGGACAGUUUAGGAAGACAUGGCGUUUGGAACGAAUCCAUCGAGUGGCCGCGAUCGAAUUUUGGCUCGAACUCGUUGCUGGUUUUCGUUGUUGGUAACGGCCGGCUCGAAAGUAACACUCCACCGCACCGCAUUGGCCGUCGUCUCGUAUAGGCGCCAACCUAUAUUUCGCUUUGGAACAAUUGUUGCAGAAACGAACGAUACGCGCGCUGUACGCGAGCUUCGCACGCACCGCGUGUGGUUUGCUGCCAGUGGUGGUGCGCGCGCACACCGCUCUCGCAUGCACGCCUUAUUUAUAGACUCGGGAGGAAGGUCACGAAGAAAGCGCGGCUAGACGAGCGAUUCGUUUCGACAUCGUUUCCGCCGUUGACCCAUAUCGUCCCCGAUUCUUUUCGACAUCCACGCUUCCACUGUUUUGACCCACUUCCAACUCCCAUUCCCUCCCAGUCCCUCGCUCGCUUUUCCAUCGUUCCGCUCUAGCUUCUAGAUUCUCUAGGCUUUAGGAGUAAAGGAGAAAAAAGAAGGGAGGUACGUUAUUACAAGCGUAGUAGCGUAACAUUCGAAAUUCGUCUCGAGGAGCAAUAAGUUGUUUAUCCGAGAGACGAGAGAUUUACAAACUUGACCUCUCGUCUUGUCUCCCUUCCCUCUCCCUCUCUCUCUCUCUCUCUCUCUCUCGAACGCCUCGAGCGAUCCAUUUUCCUUGAUUGAAAAUUUCUCGCCGUGUUUACGCACGGCUGGUUAAUCGCGCAGAUAAGAUAAAACUGAGUUUCGUUACUCCUAUCCGAACGUUUCCAAUUAUUUCUAACUAUUUCUCGGGCUUGUUGUAGUAGAUCGGUGUUAAGGUCGAUGCGAAUAUUCGGCUUUAUAUAUUCGUUCUCUUUUUUCUUUUUUUUUUUCGAAAACCUCUUCCUCUCCCCGAUUCUCGAUCAAGUUCAUAACCGAGAAUAAUACUUUUUUUUGCAGAUUAAGGAUCGUACAGGAGGACGAGGAAGUCGAACGACGUUGCUGCUUUAAAAUCGUUCGAGCGAGCCGUUUUUUUAAGCGCCCGGGGCAGAAAGAUUCCGACUCGAGACUUAACUCCGUGUACGUGUACGUGUGUGUACGUGUUUCGAAGGAACUGUUUAAUAUCGAGUUUAAUUUUUUUAAACGAAACCGCCGAGGGCGUCGUGAAAGUCUUGAAGAUAGGCGAG